ACGAAUAACACUUAAAAAAUAAAAAUUUUUAAUUUUUUUUUUUAAUUUUUUAUAAUCAGGACAAAACUAUUAUAUAAAAUCGUAAUCCAAAAAAUAGUAUCAUAUUAAUUUUAUAAACACAUAUACAUACAUAUAUACAUAUAUAUAUAUAUAUAUAUAUAUAUGUGUACAAUUGUUUAUCGUUAAAAUAGAGUAUAUACACUAAUAUAUGUUUUAUUAACAUGAAUAGUAGAUAUUUUUAUAAUGGUAAUAUAGAACAAUUUGCUUUCUCAAAACUUUUUUUUUUGUUUUUUUAACUUUUGUUUUUCGUCUAUUUAUUUUUAUAUUUAUUGAAGUUAAAUUCUUCUUCAAAAAUUGAAUUUAUAACCCAUAAUUAUUUUUUUUUAAUAAUUUUAUUUAAAACUUUUUAAAAGAUUAAAAAUGAUGAAAAACGUUAUUUUUUUAUUAGCUUUUCUUUUUCUUUUUUCUUUACAAGUAUGUCAUAUGUUAAAAGUGGAAGGUUUUGGGACUGAGCACAAGGGGCUCAUGUUUUUUCAAAUCGAUAGAGAUAUGAAUUUAAUCGGGAAUAAAUACUUUAUGGAUUAUGCGAAAAGACAAGUAUAAAUACAUGUGUCAUAGAGAUUGAAUUAUUUACUAUUUGUUGCAUCUUAUCAUUUACUAAUAAUCUUUUUUUUUUUUAAGUUUUGUGUCAAUCA
rnacentral:lncRNA from 1 species